UUAUGGCUCAGGACGAACGCUGGCGGCGUGCCUAAUACAUGCAAGUCGGACGGUCUUUCUAUGGAAGCUUGCUUCCACUGAGAAGAUAGUGGCGAACGGGUGAGUAACACGUGGGUAACCUGCCCAUAAGAGGGGGGAUAACAUCCGGAAACGGGUGCUAAUACCGCAUAGUUUUCUUGAUUGCAUGAUUGAGAAAGGAAAGACGGCCUUUGUGCUGUCGCUUAUGGAUGGACCCGCGGCGUAUUAGUUAGUUGGUGAGGUAACGGCUCACCAAGACGAUGAUACGUAGCCGACCUGAGAGGGUGAUCGGCCACAUUGGGACUGAGACACGGCCCAAACUCCUACGGGAGGCAGCAGUAGGGAAUCUUCCGCAAUGGACGAAAGUCUGACGGAGCAACGCCGCGUGAGUGAAAGAAGGUUUUCGGAUCGUAAAACUCUGUUGUCAGAGAAGAACAAGUUGGAGAGUAACUGCUCCAGCCUUGACGGUAUCUGACCAGAAAGCCACGGCUAACUACGUGCCAGCCGCCGC
rnacentral:rRNA from 1 species